UUCAUUCUCCAAUGUCGUACAUUCUGCAAAUCAUGGAAUGCCCUCGUCACAAGCAACGAUUUCCUAUCCGCUCAUCACAAGUUAACCAAAUCGAUCAUCGAAAAUGGAAAUCAAAUGCUAUUGAUCAGGUACUUCGAUCGAAAAUGGAGGCAUGUUGAUUUUGGUUUCACAGGAAACCCUAUGCGUCGAUUGAGUAGUAAUUAGGUUUAAUUGCACCGAGAGAUGAAAUUGAGGAGAAAGGAAGAGGGGAUAGGGAUCCAGGACAUCCAAUUAGGAAGCAAAUUAAUUCUUCUUGUGAAAGGCAACAGUAUUUGUCGCAAAUGAGGGCGUUAGAUAUGGGGGUUGAAGAUGAAGGGAGGUUGUUGAUAAUUGGGAUGGUGAUGUUGGGAUUGUUGUCGAUGUUUUUGAGCCAUUUUCCAUUGUACAGAAUUGAGAGGCAUUUGCUCAUCCCUUGCCAUCCUAUGGAUAAUAGAAAUUAUAUGCUCGAGACCAGAAGUCAAUAUAGACAAUGCUUGAAGAACCUUUCCACUAUGUGAAAUUCUUGCAGCUUCAAAUUAAGCUGCUAAGCUCAGAUUACAUGUGGGUUUAGGUUUUAAAGAGGAAAAGAAAGAAAACAUAGAGGGACGAUCGUGUAUUCUAGUAGAAUGUAUUCAAACAUAAUGUCAUUGACAUUGUGUUCUUAAAAAAUGGAGCCAUGUUAAUAUAGCUAUUGAAGCUGAUGCUUGAAGAACGGACCACGAAAUUUGAAUGACGUCUCUUAGCAACAUUAUUCUUUUAGAAUGUAUUGGUGUCUUUGUUUGAUUUUGAUGUUUUUUUUUCAAGAUUUGAAAGUUUUUUUAGUUUUAUUUUUUAACAAUAAAUAUAAUUCUUAGCAAUUGUUACAUGUAUUCUAUAAGAAUUAAUGUAAUUUUUGUUUUAAUUCUUCA